UCCUUGGUGGUCCAGUGGCUAAGACUCUACGCUCCAGAUGCGGGCGGUCCGGGUUCAAUCCCUGGUCAGGGAA
rnacentral:tRNA from 1 species